GACGAACGCUGGCGGCGUGCUUAACACAUGCAAGUCGAACGCUGAAGCACCAGCUUGCUGGUGUGGAUGAGUGGCGAACGGGUGAGUAAUACGUGAGUAACCUGCCCUUGACUCUGGGAUAAGCCCGGGAAACUGGGUCUAAUACUGGAUGCUACAUGUCACCGCAUGGUGGUGUGUGGAAAGGGUUUACUGGUCUUGGAUGGGCUCACGGCCUAUCAGCUUGUUGGUGAGGUAAUGGCUCACCAAGGCGACGACGGGUAGCCGGCCUGAGAGGGUGACCGGCCACACUGGGACUGAGACACGGCCCAGGCUCCUACGGGAGGCAGCAGUGGGGAAUAUUGCACAAUGGGCGAAAGCCUGAUGCAGCGACGCCGCGUGAGGGAUGACGGCCUUCGGGUUGUAAACCUCUUUCAGCAGGGAAGAAGCCACAAGUGACGGUACCUGCAGAAGAAGCGCCGGCUAACUACGUG
rnacentral:rRNA from 1 species